rnacentral:rRNA from 1 species
AUACGGAGGGUGCAAGCGUUAUUCGGAAUCACUGGGCGUAAAGGACGCGUAGGCGGGUUGGCAAGUCAGAUGUGAAAUCCUACAGCUUAACUGUAGAACUGCAUUUGAAACUGCUAACCUAGAGUAUGGGAGGGGGAGAUGGAAUUAGUGGUGUAGGGGUAAAAUCCGUAGAUAUCACUAGGAAUACCGAAAGCGAAGGCGAUCUCCUGGAACAUAACUGACGCUAAGGCGUGAAAGCGGGGGGAGCAAACAGGAUUAGAAACCCUAGUAGUCC